AACGAACGCUGGCGGCAGGCCUAACACAUGCAAGUCGAGCGAGACCUUCGGGUCUAGCGGCGGACGGGUUAGUAACGCGUGGGAACGUGCCCUUCUCUGCGGAAUAGCCACUGGAAACGGUGAGUAAUACCGCAUACGCCCUUCGGGGGAAAGAUUUAUCGGAGAAGGAUCGGCCCGCGUUAGAUUAGAUAGUUGGUGGGUAACGGCCUACCAAGUCUACGAUCUAUAGCUGGUUUUAGAGGAUGAUCAGCAACACUGGGACUGAGACACGGCCCAGACUCCUACGGGAGGCAGCAGUGGGGAAUCUUAGACAAUGGGCGCAAGCCUGAUCUAGCCAUGCCGCGUGUGUGAUGAAGGUCUUAGGAUCGUAAAGCACUUUCGCCAGGGAUGAUAAUGACAGUACCUGGUAAAGAAACCCCGGCUAACUCCGUG
rnacentral:rRNA from 1 species